rnacentral:rRNA from 1 species
CAUGCAAGGUCGUACGGGGAUUUUUAAUUCAAGGUGGCGGACGGGUGAGUAANANGNNNNGAAUUUGCCUUUAGGAGGGGGACAACAACUGGAAANGGUUGCUAAUACCCCAUAUGCUUUCGAGUGAAAUGGAUUUUUCCGCCUAAAGAGAAGCUUGCGGCUGAUUAGCUUGUUGGUGAGGUAAUGGCUCACCAAGGCGACGAUCAGUAUCUGGUUUGAGAGGAUGAUCAGACACACUGGAACUGAGACACGGUCCAGACUCCUACGGGAGGCAGCAGUGGGGAAUUUUCCGCAAUGGGCGAAAGCCUGACGGAGCAAUCUCGCGUGAGGGAUGACGGCCUAUGGGUUGUAAACCUCUUUUUUCAGGGAGGAACAAAAUGACGUGUACNUGAAGAAUAAGCAUCGGCUAACUCCGUGCCAGCAGCCGCGGUAAGACGGAGGAUGCAAGUGUUAUCCGGAAUCACUGGGCGUAAAGCGUCUGUAGGUGGUUUGAUAAGUCAACUGUUAAAUCUUGAAGCUCAACUUCAAAAUCGCAGUCGAAACUAUUAGACUAGAGUAUAGUAGGGGUAAAGGGAAUUUCCAGUGGAGCGGUGAAAUGCGUAGAUAUUGGAAAGAACACCGAUGGCGAAGGCACUUUACUGGGCUAUUACUGACACUCANAGACGAAAGCUAGGGUAGCAAAUGGGAUUAGAUACCCCAGUAGUCCUAGCCGUAAACAAUGGAUACUA